AUUCAGGGCCGGGCGCGGUGGCUCACGCUUGUAAUCCCAGCACUUUGGGAGGCCGAGGCGGGCGGAUCACGAGAUCAGGAGAUCGAGACCACGGUGAAACCCCGUCUCUACUAAAAAUACAAAAAAAUUAGCCGGGCGUGGUGGCGGGCGCCUGUAGUCCCAGUUACUCGGGAGGCUGAGGCAGGAGAAUGGCGUGAACCCGGGAGGCGGAGCUUGCAGUGAGCCGAGAUUGCUCCACUGCACUCCAGCCUGGGCGACAGAGCGAGACAACGUCUCAAAAAAAAAAAAAAAAAAAAAGAGUUAUUUAUUCAGAUAUUUGCAGCAAUUCGUUUAAGAAGAAAUUCGAUUACAUGUUUUCUUUUUUCAUAUGUAAAGCUCUAUUAACUCUAGAUCUUUGCUACUUAAACUUUGGAGAGCUUAAAUGAGUUAAAUCAGAAUCUCUGCGGGUGGGACCCAGACAUCAGUACUUUCAAUAUCUUCCCAGAUGAUUCUCAUAUGUAGCUAAGGUCGAGAACCAUUGUCCUCAUGACCUUGAUACUCAAAGUGUGGUCUGUGGAUCAGCUGCUUGGGCAACAUCUGGGGGCUUUUUAGGAAAUUUAGCCUCUCUGGCUCACUUCAGAUCUACUGAAUCAGAAUCUGCAUCUUAGCAAGAUGAUGCUUAUGCAUAUUUAAGUUUGGGAGGCAUAAAUGAUGCCAAUGUUGCUGGUUGCAAGGUCCUUCUAGCACCAUCAGAUCUGCUGCAACAAAUGGUGUGAACAUCAGGACAACUUUGCAUCUCAACCCUUCUGGGCAACAUAUCCAAGUGAGACACGGUCUUGCUCCGUUGCCCAGGCUGGGGCUGGCUCAAGCAAUUCUCCUCCAGAAUAGUUGGGACUAAAGAGUCAAGGUCUUGCCACAUUGCCCGGGCUGGUCUUGAAUUUCCUAGGUCUCAAGCAAUCUUCCCACCGCGGCUUCCCAAAGCACUGGCCAAAAUUGUAGAUAUUUAUGGGGUACAACAUGAUAUUUUGAAAUACGUAUACAUUGUACAAUGGGUAAAUCAAACUAAAUCUAUUCUCUUAAGCAAUUUUCAAGUAAACAAUAUGUAAUUAUUAACAGUAGCUACCAUAAUGUAUAAUAAAAUAGAUCUCUUGAACUUGUUUCACCUGUCUAACUGACAUUUCGUAUCCUUUGAACAGAAUCUCCCUUAUCCCUCUAACCCUCCCAACGCCCUAGCUGCUGGUAACCACUACUGUACUCACCUAUGAAAUCUACUUUUUUGGACUCCACAUGUAAAUGAGAUCAUAUGGUAUUUGUCUUUCUGGACCUGGCUUAUUUCACUUCAUAUAAUGUCUUCCAGGGUUGUUCAUGUUGUCACAAGUGACAAGAUUUUCUUCUUUUUAAAGAUCACU